rnacentral:tRNA from 1 species
GCCUGGGUGGCUCAGUUGGUUAAGUGUCUGACUUUGGCUCAGGUCAUGAUCUCAUGGUUUGUGGGUUGGAGCCCCGCAUCAGGCU